rnacentral:rRNA from 1 species
CAGUCGCCGCGGUAAUACGAAGGUCCCGAGCGUUGUUCGGAAUCACUGGGCGUAAAGGGAGCGUAGGCGGCGUGGUAAGUCAAAUGUGAAAUCCCGGGGCUCAACCCCGGAACUGCAUCCGAUACUGCCGUGCUAGAGGAUUGGAGAGGUAGCUGGAAUUCUUGGUGUAGCAGUGAAAUGCGUGGAGAUCAAGAGGAACACUCGUGGCGAAAGCGAGCUACUGGACAAUAUCUGACGCUGAGGCUCGAAGGCCAGGGUAGCGAGAGGGAUUAGAUACCCCCGUAGUCCCUGUCUCUUAUAC